rnacentral:rRNA from 1 species
GGGCCCGGCACUGACGUUGAGGAGCGAAAGCGUGGGUAGCAAACAGGAUUAGAUACCCUGGUAGUCCACGCCGUAAACGUUGGGCACUAGGUGUGGGGCCUUAUCAACGGGUUUCCGUGCCGAAGUUAACACAUUAAGUGCCCCGCCUGGGGAGUACGGCCGCAAGGUUAAAACUCAAAGGAAUUGACGGGGGCCCGCACAAGCGGCGGAGCAUGUUGCUUAAUUCGAGGCAACGCGAAGAACCUUACCUGGGUUUGACAUGUAGGGAAAAGCCAUAGAGAUAUGGUGUCCUUCGGGGCCCUACACAGGUGGUGCAUGGCUGUCGUCAGCUCCGUGUCGUGAGAUGUUGGGUUAAGUCCCGCAACGAGCGCAACCCUCGUCCUAUGUUGCCAGCGGGUCAUGCCGGGGACUCAUAGGAGACUGCCGGGGUCAACUCGGAGGAAGGUGGGGAUGACGUCAAGUCAUCAUGCCCCUUACGUCCAGGGCUG